rnacentral:rRNA from 1 species
GGGUUGUGAGGUUAAGCGACUAAGCGUACACGGUGGAUGCCCUGGCAGUCAGAGGCGAUGAAGGACGUGCUAAUCUGCGAUAAGCGUCGGUGAGGUGAUAUGAACCGUUAUAACCGGCGAUUUCCGAAUGGGGAAACCCAGUGUGUUUCGACACACUAUCAUUAACUGAAUCCAUAGGUUAAUGAGGCGAACCGGGGGAACUGAAACAUCUAAGUACCCCGAGGAAAAGAAAUCAACCGAGAUUCCCCCAGUAGCGGCGAGCGAACGGGGAGGAGCCCAGAGCCUGAAUCAGUGUGUGUGUUAGUGGAAGCGUCUGGAAAGGCGCGCGAUACAGGGUGACAGCCCCGUACACAAAAAUGCACAUAUUGUGAGCUCGAUGAGUAGGGCGGGACACGUGGUAUCCUGUCUGAAUAUGGGGGGACCAUCCUCCAAGGCUAAAUACUCCUGACUGACCGAUAGUGAACCAGUACCGUGAGGGAAAGGCG